rnacentral:rRNA from 1 species
GCUUGAAUGAAAGGUCGGAUGAGGAACUAGCUGUCUUUUUUUAUUUAAAGAAUUUAACUUUUAAGUGAAAAGGCUUAAAUAUACUAGUGGGACGAUAAGACCCUAUAAAAUUUAAUAUAAAUUGAAUAAAAUUUGAGGAUUUAGUUUAAUUUAAUUUUUUUUAGUUUAUAUUUUGUUGGGGAGACGAUGAUAUAAUUUUAACUGUCUUUUUUAUAUAAUAGUAAUAAUUAGAUUUUGAUCCUUUAUUAAAGAUUUUAAGAUUAAGUUACUUUAGGGAUAACAGCGUAAUUUUCUUUGAGAGUUCUUAUCGACAAGAGUAGUUGCGACCUCGAUGUUGAAUUAAAGUUUCUGGUACGGUGUAGCCGCUUGCCUCGUGGGUCUGUUCGACC